UCAUGUUUACACUUGAUAGUUAACUGCCUGCUUGUUUCUCUGGCUGCCUUGCUCAGUUUUCCCACUUUGCUCCAUUCAGAAUGGAGUUCCCAUUUGUACUGUGGUAAAUUUCAACUCUUCUCAAAAACUUGUCUCUCUAUAGCCAUUUCCACCUUGUCCGUCUAGAAGGGGAGAAAUUCAGGAAGAAGACCUACCCCAACUGACCAUCUUCCAGGUCUCACUAUGUAGUGUGAACAAGAAUGCCUAGAAAGAAGCUGUGUCUGCAGACUAAUUAACUAAUUAGAGCUGCAGUAAUGUGGAGAGAUUGGAAUGUGGCAUGUCCAGAUGCUUAUUACCUUACCAGGUAGCUUUAGGUCCCGAAUAGCCAUCCUUGUCCACCUUUGUUGGAACUAACAUCCUAUGACUAAUAGACAGUCUUCUGAAA